rnacentral:tRNA from 1 species
GGGGUCAUAGCUCAGACGGGAGAGCAUCUGCUUUGCAAGCAGGAGGUCGGGAGUUCGAUUCUCCCUGACUCCACCA